rnacentral:rRNA from 1 species
CAGUCGCCGCGGUAAUACGAAGGGGGCUAGCGUUGCUCGGAAUGACUGGGUGUAAAGGGCGCGUAGGCGGCGAUCAAAGUCAGGCGUGAAAUUCCUGGGCUCAACCUGGGGGCUGCGUUUGAUACUUGGUUGCUAGAGUGAGGAAGAGGGUCGUGGAAUUCCCAGUGUAGAGGUGAAAUUCGUAGAUAUUGGGAAGAACACCGGUGUCGAAGGCGGCGACCUGGUCCUUGACUGACGCUGAGGCGCGAAAGCGUGGGGAGCAAACAGGAUUAGAUACCCCUGUAGUCCCUGUCUCUUAUAC